GAAGAAUUAGUUAAACCAUAACAUUAGAUUGUCAAACUAAAAUUAUCAGUUAGAUAUUCUUCU
rnacentral:tRNA from 1 species